rnacentral:rRNA from 1 species
GGAGGGUGCGAGCGUUGUCCGGAAUCACUGGGCGUAAAGGGCGCGUAGGCGGUCCGUUAAGUUGCCGGUGAAAUCCCGGGGCUCAACUCCGGGGCUGCCGGCAAGACUGGCGGGCUCGAGCACGGUAGAGGCAGAUGGAAUUCCCGGUGUAGCGGUGGAAUGCGUAGAGAUCGGGAAGAAUACCGGUGGCGAAGGCGUUCUGCUGGGCCGUUGCUGACGCUGAGGCGCGACAGCGUGGGGAGCAAACAGGAUUAGAUACCCUGGUAGUCCACGCCGUAAACGAUGGACACUAGGCGUCGGGGGGAGCGACCCCCUCGGUGCCGUCGCUAACGCAGUAAGUGUCCCGCCUGGGGAGUACGGCCGCAAGGCUG